UCUAAGUAUAAAUGUUAUACAGUGAAACUGCGAAUGGCUCAUUAAAACAGUUAUAGUUUAUUUGAUAAUCGAAUUUACAUGGAUAACCGUGGUAAUUCUAGAGCUAAUACAUGCUGGUUAGCCUGACUUUUGAGGAAGGGCUGUAUUUAUUAGAUAACAAACCAAUAUUCCCCGUGUCUAUUGUGAUGACUCAUAAUAACUGAUCGAAUCGCAUGGACUUUGUCCGCGAUAAAUCAUUCAAGUUUCUGCCCCAUCAGCUUUCGAUGGUAGUGUAUUGGACUACCAUGGCUUUAACGGGUAACGGAGGAUUAGGGUUCGAUUCCGGAGAGGGAGCCUGAGAAACGGCUACCACAUCUAAGGAAGGCAGCAGGCGCGUAAAUUACCCAAUCCUGACUCAGGGAGGUAGUGACAAGAAAUAACGGACCGAAGCCUAUGUUUCGGGAUUGCAAUGAGUAGAAUUUAAACCCCUUUACGAGGAUCAAUUGGAGGGCAAGUCUGGUGCCAG
rnacentral:rRNA from 1 species